rnacentral:lncRNA from 1 species
AAUUCUCGGAAAAAACUUCCCUUCUCAGACAGUAGAAAUCCUAAGGCUGCUCUUGUUUGAACAGGUUGCUUUGAUUGAGAUUCACUUGGUAGAAAUCUAGGGAAGGAAAUAUCUGCUUGCCUUUGUAGAAGACCUAGUUCAGCCAUAUCCCCAUUCAAAUUCUCCCCACCUCCACUUUUUGCUGCAGUUAUGAAAUUCUCAAAGGCUUGCAUCACAUCAAUGAAUCUUUCAGCAUCAAAAACACCUGAUUUCCCGUAUAUUGUAUAACGCAAAGCAUUCCUUAGC